rnacentral:misc_RNA from 1 species
GGAUGGAUCAUUCCUGUUGAUACAACACCAACCUUUGAACUAUCUUCAUCUACCUCUUCUAACUUCAAUAAAGAAUGAACUGAAAAACUCUUAACGAUGGAUGACUCGACUCUCGUAACGAGGAAGGACGCAGCAAACCGCGAUAAGCAGUAUGACUUGCGUACACUCGUGAAUCACCAGAUUUCUGAACGCAUUUGUAUUCCUGGCUUCGGCCUCGAGUAUACUUGGCUCGGUAUCAUAUCGAUUUGCCUCAAUCUUCGCUGCAUUUGUGUUGCAAGGGAAUUGAGGUGUUGAGAGCUUUCCACUCUGUGUCAGCUGUCAACUGAUCUACUCUGAUACAAUGUUGCUCAAAUAGUUAUUCUACCAUUUAGCGCUUUGUAUUUGCAAGGGUUCUCAAUCUCAUGUUUUGAUCCGAGCUCAAGUAAGGUUACCCGCUGAAUUUAAGCAUAUAAUUAAGCGGAGGAAUAGAAACCAACAGGGAUUCCCAUAUUAGUGGCGAACGAAAUGGGAUCAGCCCGAGAUGUGAAUCAAAGUAAGCUUGCCUUGCUUUGAGUUGUGCAUCAUGGUCUUCACCAGUAAGCUUUGUUGUCUAAGGUGCCUGGAAAGGCACGCCACAGAAGGUGAUAGCCCUGUCUUUGGCAAUUAAAGCUUGCGUACGGUUUUGAUCGAAUGAGUCACGCUCUUUGGGAGUAGAGCGCAAAAAGGGUGGUAACCUCCAUCCAUGGCUAAAUAUUGACGAGAGAUCGAUAGCAAACAAGUACCCUGAGGGAAAGUUGAAAAGCACUUCGAAAGGAGAGUUAAAAGACCUGAAAUCGUUAAGGGGGAAGCGAGUGACCGUGACCCAAGAGAUGUUUCACGUCUUUCUGAAACAGAGAAGUCGUGCACUCUGAGCAAUAUCUUUGUGCAUGAUUGAUCAGUGAGAUUGAACGCUGAAUCAUCACUGUCCGACAUCACUUAUGAAUUCUCUGAAUUUCAUUGAGUUCAAGAGUGGCGUAAACCAGCUUGCUGUAAGCUGUCGGAAGUGGCACGUUCACACGACCCGUCUUGAAACACGGACCAAGGAGUUAAACAUGUGUGCAAGUGUAAGGGUAGUACACCCAUACGCGCAGUGAAAGCGACAGCUGUGAAUACAAAUGCAACAGCGGCCGACUCUUGAAGUUCGAGCUUGAGCAUAUUUGUUUAGACCCGAAAGAUGGUGACCUAUACCUGAGUUGAGUGAAGCCAGGGGAAACCCUGGUGGAAGCUCGUAGCGAUACUGACGUGCAAAUCGUUCGUCAAACUUGGGCAUAGGGGCGAAAGACUAAUCGAACCAUCUAGUAGCUGGUUCCCUC